rnacentral:rRNA from 1 species
UACGAAGGGUGCAAACGUUGCUCGGAAUCAUUGGGCGUAAAGCGCACGUAGGCGGCUUCGCAAGUCGGAUGUGAAAUCCCGUGGCUCAACCAUGGACGUGCAUCCGAAACUGUGAGGCUUGAGUAUGGAAGAGGGUCGCGGAAUUCCCGGUAUAGAGGUGAAAUUCGUAGAUAUCGGGAGGAACACCAGUGGCGAAGGCGGCGACCUGGGCCAAUACUGACGCUGAGGUGCGAAAGCGUGGGGAGCAAACAGG